CCUACGGGUGGCUGCAGUGGGGAAUAUUGGACAAUGGGGGGAACCCUGAUCCAGCGACGCCGCGUGAGUGAAGAAGUCUUUCGGUAUGUAAAGCUCUAUCAGCAGGGAAGACCGAAAUGACGGCACCUGACUAAGAAGCCGCAGCUAACUACGUGCCAGCAGCCGCUGUAAUACGUAGGGGGCAAGCGUUAUCCGGAUUUACUGGGUGUAAAGGGAUCGUAGACGGCGAUGCAAGUCUGAAGUGAAAGUCGGGGGCCCAAACCCCGGACUGCUUUGGAAACUGUAUGGCUGGAGUGCAGGAGAGGUAAGUGGAAUGCCUAGUGUAGCGGUGAAAUGCGUAGAUAUUAGGAGGAACACCAGUGGCGAAGGCGGCUUACUGGACUGUAACUGACGUUGAGGCUCGAAAGCGUGGGGAGCAAACAGGAUUAGAUACCCCAGUAGUC
rnacentral:rRNA from 1 species